GGCGGACGGGUGAGUAACACGUGGGCAACCUGCCCCAGACACCGGGAUAACCUUCCGAAAGGAUGGCUAAUACCGGAUAUGACCACUUCGGGCAUCCGACGGUGGUGGAAAGGAUUCUGGUCUGGGAUGGGCCCGCGGCCUAUCAGCUUGUUGGUGGGGUAAUGGCCUACCAAGGCGACGACGGGUAGCCGGCCUGAGAGGGCGACCGGCCACACUGGGACUGAGACACGGCCCAGACUCCUACGGGAGGCAGCAGUGGGGAAUAUUGCGCAAUGGGCGAAAGCCUGACGCAGCGACGCCGCGUGAGGGACGAAGGUCUUCGGAUUGUAAACCUCUUUCAGCAGGGACGAAGCGAAAGUGACUGUACCUGCAGAAGAAGCACCGGCUAACUACGUGCCAGCUGCCGCGG
rnacentral:rRNA from 1 species